GCACAAGCGGUGGAGCAUGUGGUUUAAUUCGAUGCAACGCGAAGAACCUUACCUGGUCUUGACAUGUCUGGAAUCCCGAAGAGAUUUGGGAGUGCCGCAAGGAGCCAGAACACAGGUGCUGCAUGGCUGUCGUCAGCUCGUGCCGUGAGAUGUUGGGUUAAGUCCCGCAACGAGCGCAACCCUUGUCCUUAGUUGCCAUCAUUUAGUUGGGCACUCUAAGGAGACCGCCGGUGACAAACCGGAGGAAGGUGGGGAUGACGUCAAGUCAUCAUGGCCUUUAUGACCAGGGCUACACACGUGCUACAAUGGUAGAUACAGAGGGAAGCCAACUCGCGAGAGGGAGCCAAUCCCAGAAAAUCUAUCGUAGUCCGGAUUGGAGUCUGCAACUCGACUCCAUGAAGUCGGAAUCGCUAGUAAUCGCAGAUCAGCAUUGCUACGGUGAAUACGUUCCCGGGC
rnacentral:rRNA from 1 species